UACGUAGGGUGCAAGCGUUAAUCGGAAUUACUGGGCGUAAAGCGUGCGCAGGCGGUUUGGCAAGAAGGAUGUGAAAUCCCAGGGCUUAACCUUGGAACUGCAUUCUUAACUGCCAGGCUAGAGUAUGUCAGAGGGGGGUAGAAUUCCGCGUGUAGCAGUGAAAUGCGUAGAGAUGCGGAGGAAUACCGAUGGCGAAGGCAGCCCCCUGGGAUAAUACUGACGCUCAUGCACGAAAGCGUGGGGAGCAAACAGG
rnacentral:rRNA from 1 species